AAUGGUAUGGUUUGUUGCAAAAGGAACUGUUGUUUUGGCAGAACACACCUGAUUUCCCCAUCGGACGACCACCAGACAACAACUGGUGUUUUUCAUAAGGUAAUUUAUUCUUGUUUUUGAACAAUUGCAAUUGACUAGAUUUCAUGGUUGAAUUACAUUUUGAUGGGGGUAACUUAUGAGAACUGCACUUUCAUUUUUCUUGUUUUAUUUGUUUAGAUUUCAUGCAAUGACUGGAUUACAUCUUUAUUGAAAUUUGGGAAUGUGAAUUGCCCUUGACUGCUUCGUUUGUUGGCAUUUGAAAAACAUACGGUAUCAAUAUAUUAUAUAUUAAUAAAAUGGUGACUUGGAUGUGAGGACCAUAUAACUAGAUUAAGUUUUCUAAAAGAAUUCAAUAAACAAUAUGUUUAGGGUGGUAAAAUUUGGAAGAAUCUAGUAAACUAUAUAUGCAUCUAUGGUAGUUUACCGGGGUUCAAGUCAAAACAUGUUCUAAGCAAGACAUGUUCUGGAAAAAUGGGCCAUUCAAAGCAAGUAUCCGUUUUUCUCAGAUCAAAAUGAGUUCAGCCCGAUCCGAUAUCAACUCGAGUUAAAAAGAGUUCUUUUACAUGUUCAUGUAUGGGGUUUUGUGAAAUGUGAUAUCCUAGAAGAAUAAAAAGCACGAUAGCACGUGUGAGUCAAACACAUCUUUAGAGUAUAGGGUCAGUCUGUAUAUAUGGUUUUACUUUACUUAACUUGGUGUUCAACCAUUGUUGGUAAGAUAGGCAGGUCGGGUAAAGUCGUAAAGGGCCGGAACAUGUUUAGGUUGAAGUCAGUCGAUUAGGCUUCAUGGUUGACUUUAACAAGUGGUGAUUCAUAUUCUUUGCUCACUAUAAUCGAUGUAUGCUUUUAUAACUCAUGACAAUAUACAUUUUUAGUACAAAUAUCUUGAUUGCAAUUAUCAGUUCAAAUGCACUUAUGUUUAUUGUAUUUUGUCAGUUUUACUGAAUCCUGUAUCAUUUUAUUUCGUGAUUUUAACAACCGGGUCAUUCUUGUUCAACUUUCAAUUGUACAGUAACAUCAUUUUGCAUCUACCCACAAAAAAGGGGAAUGUGGUGGGCUGGGUAACGGGUCAAAUGUGUCCUUAGUGUUUAAUAUUAGACCUUGGUGAUUUUGAUACCAUUAGACCCACCUGCAACUGUUGAAUUUGCAAGUGUUGUUUUUAACUAAAAAAAGACAGUUACAGAUGAUUUCCAUUUGUAUGCAGGGUUUAUACCAUGCUUCUUUUAAGGUGCCAGUUGUUUAUGGUGUUUUCCAAUUUAAGGUUGAAUAUCAGAGGCUUGGAUACACCAGCUUGUCACUAGCGAAACAGGUAAAACGCUAAAUAAUUACAAAACUUAUGAUCACACAUGGUAGGUAGUUAGAGAACGAUAUUCAAGUAUCCAACACCCUGCGUUUGCAGCCGAAACUUUAGUAUACUCGUAUCCUCCUUUUAUUCUUUUGCAGGUAAUCUAUAUCAGGGUACACUCAAUGGAAGAUGGGGCAUGGCUGGGUCUAAAUGAAGCCCUACAUCUUUUUUUCUCAUUGCUGCUCACACUAUGUGUUGAGUUUGUAUAACCACUUAGUACCUUACUACUUUAGCUUCUCAUAACAACUUUAGCCCUACAUCCCGUUAUUCUUUUUUGUGCCCAAUAACUGUACACACACAUGUACUAAUAAACUCAUGUGCAGCUUGCAGAAGGGCUCUGUCUUAGAAAAGAAGUCAUGUCCUUUAGGUGACCGGACCCGAGCGUAAGAUGAACAUCUGGAUUAAGGCAUCAACAAUAUGAAGAGAGGCCAGAGAUGGUCCGACAAUUAAGUUGCGGCAGGUGCUUUUCGAUACAUAACAGGUCCGCGAAUCAAAUUGUAGUUUAACUCAUACAAUGUCAAACUACAAAUGUUUGUCAUCACUGCCACAACACGCGGGUUGAAAGCACUAGUUACUACUAUUUUAAGAUGGUGAUAUAAACAAACUGCUAUGUAAUUUUUGGUUGUUUGAAUGUGAAUUACUGUU
rnacentral:lncRNA from 1 species